AUACGUAGGUGGCGAGCGUUGUCCGGAUUUACUGGGUGUAAAGGGCGAGUAGGCGGGCUUGCAAGUCAGAUGUGAAAUACCGAGGCUCAACUUCGGGGCUGCAUUUGAAACUGCGAGUCUUGAGUGAUGGAGAGGCAGGCGGAAUUCCCAGUGUAGCGGUAAAAUGCAUAGAUAUUGGGAAGAACACCAGUGGCGAAGGCGGCCUGCUGGACAAUAACUGACGCUGAGGAGCGAAAGUGUGGGGAGCAAACAGGAUUAGAUGCCCUGGUAGUCCACACCGUAAACGAUGGAUACUAGGUGUGCGGGGACUGACCCCCUGCGUGCCGCAGUUAACACAAUAAGUAUCCCACCUGGGGAGUACGAUCGCAAGAUUGAAACUCAAAUGAAUUGACGGGG
rnacentral:rRNA from 1 species